UGUCCCCUCCCGAUUCCCUCUUCUACCGGUGACCCUAGCCGCCGCUCCCCGCUCCCCGCCGCGCCAAUCCCCGACUCCCUGCCGACCCGUGCGCGCUCCUGGGCCCUCCGCGGCGCCGCCCACCUCGUCGCACUCCCGCCGCCGUCACCCCUCGCCCUCGGCUCCCUCGGACCCCGUUGCGCCUGGCCGUCGUGCUGACCUGCCGCUGCUGACUCCGACGCCGGCGGCCGACUGCCCGAUCUCCUCCACCUGCAGCUGCUAAUCGACAUCGAUCCGUGCUCCUUCAUCUGCAACCCGUUAAACCAACUGCAAGUUCUAGCAGGUGCUGUACUUUGUUAUCCAUGAUUGGUUUUAGGUGCAUCAUUCUGUAAUCCAGUCUGGAGGGAUUGUUAUUGAUCAGUGUGGCCAAACUGUUUUCUCAUGUACUAGUACUUAGCUAGCCAGAGAAGAAAAACAAAAUCUAAUGUUUCAGAUAAACAUCACUUGAUUUGCUUUGGGUGUAACUCUUUUUGUAUACAAUCGAAAUUCUUGUAAACAGUACGUUUUGCACUGUUAA